AUUGAACGCUGGCGGCAGGCCUAACACAUGCAAGUCGAACGGUAACAGGAAACAGCUUGCUGUUUCGCUGACGAGUGGCGGACGGGUGAGUAAUGUCUGGGAAACUGCCUGAUGGAGGGGGAUAACUACUGGAAACGGUAGCUAAUACCGCAUAACGUCGCAAGACCAAAGAGGGGGACCUUCGGGCCUCUUGCCAUCGGAUGUGCCCAGAUGGGAUUAGCUAGUAGGUGGGGUAACGGCUCACCUAGGCGACGAUCCCUAGCUGGUCUGAGAGGAUGACCAGCCACACUGGAACUGAGACACAGUCCAGACUCCUACGGGAGGCAGCAGUGGGGAAUAUUGCACAAUGGGCGCAAGCCUGAUGCAGCCAUGCCGCGUGUAUGAAGAAGGCCUUCGGGUUGUAAAGUACUUUCAGCGGGGAUGAAGGGAGUAAAGUUAAUACCUUUGCUCAUUGACGUUACCCGCAGAAGAAGCACCGGCUAACUCCGUG
rnacentral:rRNA from 1 species